rnacentral:rRNA from 1 species
AUUGAACGCUGGCGGCAUGCCUUACACAUGCAAGUCGAACGGCAGCACGGGUGCUUGCACCUGGUGGCGAGUGGCGAACGGGUGAGUAAUACAUCGGAACAUGUCCUGUAGUGGGGGAUAGCCCGGCGAAAGCCGGAUUAAUACCGCAUACGAUCUACGGAUGAAAGCGGGGGACCUUCGGGCCUCGCGCUAUAGGGUUGGCCGAUGGCUGAUUAGCUAGUUGGUGGGGUAAAGGCCUACCAAGGCGACGAUCUGUAGCUGGUCUGAGAGGACGACCAGCCACACUGGGACUGAGACACGGCCCAGACUCCUACGGGAGGCAGCAGUGGGGAAUUUUGGACAAUGGGCGAAAGCCUGAUCCAGCAAUGCCGCGUGUGUGAAGAAGGCCUUCGGGUUGUAAAGCACUUUUGUCCGGAAAGAAAUCCUUGGCUCUAAUACAGUCGGGGGAUGACGGUACCGGAAGAAUAAGCAGCGGCUAACUACGUG